GAGAACAUAACUCAGUUGGUAGAGUGGUUGACUUUUAAUCAAUUUGUCGUUGGUUCGAUCCCAACUGUUCUCA
rnacentral:tRNA from 2 species